rnacentral:rRNA from 1 species
UACGGGGGGAGCAAGCGUUGUUCGGAUUUACUGGGCGUAAAGGGCGCGUAGGCGGCCACUGCAAGUCAGUUGUGAAAUCUCCGGGCUUAACCCGGAAAGGUCAACUGAUACUGCAGGGCUAGAGUGCAGAAGGGGCAACUGGAAUUCUCGGUGUAGCGGUGAAAUGCGUAGAUAUCGAGAGGAACACCUGCGGCGAAGGCGGGUUGCUGGGCUGACACUGACGCUGAUGUGCGAAAGCCAGGGGAGCGAACAGG